rnacentral:rRNA from 1 species
UGGGGAAUAUUGGACAAUGGGCGAAAGCCUGAUCCAGCCAUGCCGCGUGUGUGAAGAAGGUCUUCGGAUUGUAAAGCACUUUAAGUUGGGAGGAAGGGCAGUAAGCGAAUACCUUGCUGUUUUGACGUUACCGACAGAAUAAGCACCGGCUAACUCUGUGCCAGCAGCCGCGGUAAUACAGAGGGCGCAAGCGUUAAUCGGAAUUACUGGGCGUAAAGCGCGCGUAGGUGGUUCGUUAAGUUGAAUGUGAAAGCCCCGGGCUCAACCUGGGAACUGCAUCCAAAACUGGCGAGCUAGAGUAGGGCAGAGGGUGGUGGAAUUUCCUGUGUAGCGGUGAAAUGCGUAGAUAUAGGAAGGAACACCAGUGGCGAAGGCGACCACCUGGGCUCAUACUGACACUGAGGUGCGAAAGCGUGGGGAGCAAACAGG